CAAUGCAGAAGAAGUGGACACGUAGAUUUCAGUGCCAAAAUGAGCCCUCAGAAGAUUAUGUCAUCUGUCCUUCUGAUACCUUGAACCCCCAAAUUAAGGUCAAGCACAAGCCCAACUCUCCACUCUGUAGGAAACAUUAGAACUGUAGUCCUUGUAGACAGAGACCAAGAGUCUUCUCAUUUGGGGCAUUCUGUCAUUUCUUUAAGUAAAAGGGCCGCAGGGUGCCUUGUAACCGUGAUAAUAGUAUUGAAAAAGCCAAAAGUGUUGGCAGGAGCUCGUUGGAAGACUCUGAAAUCGUUAAUAUUAUUGAUCCAGAGAGGCUGCCAGUUGGCACCCGCUAUGUUGCUUUGUUUCUCCCUCUUCCACUAACACACAUGACGCCAUCGCCACCACCUCCACACAAGUGUAAAAUCUGUGUCCAGGGACCCAUGUGCCAGCCGGGAAAGGACUGAUCAGUAUCCUUAGAGUCAUUUAAAUCCAAAUGUGAGAUGGUUAUAUAAUGCCAUAAACACAAACAAGGGAAGUGAGAAAUAACAGACUCAAAACAGGAAGGGCCGGUGUGCACGAGGCCAGUGAAGAUGUGAGAGCAGGCGUGGUUUGCUCUGCCUAUGUCCCCUUGUGACCUCAGAAUAUUUUUACAAAUCAUGUGCCUUACGGGCAAACCCUGAUAGCACACAGGCAGGACAGCAGAAGACAGUUUGAGUAGUUGAUGGACACGUUCUGGCCCAGGAAGCAGGAUGUCAAAACAAGCCAUAGAUCCACGUGGCCUUCACCUUCACAAUGGGUGGGCCAUUCCCAAAGGCUUGGGUCCUGAAAGGAGGGAGAAGGCUCCCGUCUCACUCCGAAGAAUCUAAGAGUCUAGAGAAAAGAAACACCCAUUGACUGGAAGACUCAGACGAAGACAAACUGAACAAGGCUAUAGAUUAAGUGCCAGAGAAUGUUGAAAGAAUGUUUCAGGAAGCAACUAGAACUGGAUUUCAGUAGAAGGGAAUGCUGUUAAGUUGGGAAGAAAAGAUGGACCCUUUGGUUGGGAUAGGCGCUUGGUGUCUGAGCAUGGUCUGAGCAGGUGGCUCAACUAAUUGUCCUUUGUGGUGGCCAAACAGGGAAGCAAUCACAUCAGACAGUGCCUGGAUGUCAACCAUCCUUGAACUUGUUCUUUAGACUUGGUCCCAUGCAAGACGGUAGCAUGCUAUCCCCCAUUCAAUCGUGGCUGUAAUUGGUGGUCUUGCAAUUUUGCUUAUUCAACGCGGUGGUUUUCACUGAAACUGUAUUUACUAUUUGUUCUCAGGGCUCCCAGUGCAGUGUUUUCCCAGGGUGCAGGGGCUCAGCUGUGGGAACUAGGUUUUCUUGGCUCCCUGUAAACUCCACCUGCUGAGAGAUCCAGUUGUCUCUCUGCCAGAGUGAUGAACAUGGUGCAAAGCAGGAAAGUGGGACAAGAAGAGAAUGAAUUGAAAGUAAAGGAAAUAAAACAACCGCUGAAAACCCGACAUCCAAGACGACAUCACCAAUGAAAGUCAAUGAGGCAAACACCAUCUGGCCCUGAAAUAUGAACGAGCACAAAAGGGCGGCUACAGCUCCUGGGAAUCUGUGCUCCAACCGAGCACACGCUUGCUUUCCUAGCUGCCCGAGACUCAUCCUGGAUGGGGGCUGGUGGCUGUAACCCUUCUGCAGAGCUCUCCACGAGCGAGAUUGCAGGUUCCAGGAAGUUGGGGAAUCCAGCUUGAACGAUCCAUGAAGUUGUUCAUCCUGCCAAUGACCCGUCCUAGCACAGUGGCUGUCAUGCAUGCCGUGGCAUGGAUGAUCUCUUCACUGACGUAUUCCUCACUGGCCUACACUAUGUGUUAGGAACCAAGAACAGGGAGAUAGUGAAUCUGAAUUUCUUGAACAUACUCAAAGGCUGGCCUGGAGGACUAGCUGCAGAUUAAUCUAUUCUACCUGACACUAUGGUCCUAGAAAUAAGUAAAAAACUGAAGGAGGUGUGUGUGUUUGCACUGGGCGGUGUCAGAGGGAUGAGGGAUAAGGAAGGGUUCCUAACAAAUGUAGCCUUUCAAUUGAGGAUGUGUAGAAUGUGUAUAAGACAGGGAGAGAAAGGGCCUUCUCUUCCAGUCCAAGACUGCACCUACAAAGGCACAGAAAGGCAAUGUGAUGUGGGUUUUAUGUUACUUCUGUUAUGAAAAUUUUCUAAAAGAUUCCUUCUCUAUUGUUUUAGCAGAAGAGGGCUUUGUUUACUUGAUGUUUGUUUACUCUGCUUAAUUCCCUAGGGUCUCCAUCUGGCUCCAUCAGAAAAGAUUUGCCUUGUUUGUUUUCCGUAGCUCUUUGCUGUCACUCUCCUUGAUUGACUUUCCCUAGUCAUGUCAGGCAGGCUCAAGGCCACGAUGCCGCCCAGGAGACUGCAGGCGUUUGGCUGGACAAGAAGAGCCUUCAGUGACUGUCUAGAGCUGCCAUAUAUCUGCAGAGGACUGAUUGGCGCCUGUUAUUAGGGAAACUCCGAAGCCAGUGUGGAUGCCUGUGGCUUCUUCUGGACACAGAAUAGGGCUAGUGGGCAGAUAGUGUCAGAGGUUCAUGACUGCAGAGGGACUCAAUGCCUUCUGAGCACAUAGGCAGUAACACAAAGGACAGAUCCUGAUGGCUCUAGAGGCCGGAUUACAAAAAUUCUGGUCAGCGGCCCAAGGCCUAACAGAAGAUGGGAAGGUCCUUUCUGCCACCUAAGAUCUGCUCUCCUGUGCCAGCCCUUCAUUAUCCCACAGAUAAACCCCCAAUUGCAAACUUCCUUGCUCUCAAACUUUCUGUCUAAUGGAGCAUCGGGAACACAGUUGUCUGAGCAUCCUUGAUUCCACACCCCAGGAUAGCUUUCCUUAAAAGCAAACUAUCUUUAGUUUUAAACUUUGACUUUUUUCUUAAUGUUUUGUUUUUAUUUUAUUAUGUGUACCAUAGUUCAGGAUCCCCUGAAACUGGAGUUACAGAUGGGUAUGGUUCUCUAUGUAGGUCCUAGGACUCAAACACCUGAGUCUUUUGGAAUAGCAGCCAGUUCUCUUUACCACUGCACCAUUUCUUCAUCAGCCCUGACUUAGGUCUGUUUUGAGACAGUGUCUGUAGCAUAGGCUUUCCUGGAGCUCACCAUAUAGUCCUGGCUGGUUACAAGCUCAUGGGGUCUUCCUGCUAUGGAGCCUCUUGAGUGCAGACUUAUAAGAACGAGCCAUCACUGAAACAAAUGCUCAGAGAAGAUGAGCCAGGACUCUCUCAAAAUACAGAACUACGGGUACCAUUUCUGUGUGUGUGUGUGCUUACAGGGUCUCUAUAUGGAUCUCAGGCUAUCCACAAACAGAUUACCUUCUGAGUGAUGGUAUUGUAGGUGUCUACUACUGUGUCUUGCUUGAUACCUACUUUCUAAAAAUAACUUAGUUACAUUUUUUUCAUGUUUAAUAUCUACUUUGUUCCUAACUGUGUGUAUGAGAGUGUAUGUGCAUGUAAGUGCGUGUGUCCUGAAGGCCAGAGGUGGCAUAUCCCCUGGAGCUGUAGUUACAAGUGGCUGACUGUUACAGCUGCUGUGAGACAGGAUAUACUCUUACCUGCUGAGCUAUCGCUCUAGCUCCUACUCAGCGUUUCCAGUGGCAGCUUCUCAUCCCACUGAUGCACCAUAGUAUAAAACAUCGUGUAGACACUGCAGAAACUCAUUCAUAUUAUCAAAAUGGAAACAAACAUGCAAACCACACAAGCAUGAAGUUCUCCUUACAUGUGCCUCAGCCUCAUACUCUCUCAGAAAUGAAUAACUCUCAUUGGUUUGGUUGGUCAUUUUAUAUUCUCAUGGAAUAUGCCAUGUUGUCAGAGAAGGUGAGUCAUAGGGUGUGAGAUUUGAGGCUCCAAAAGACUCAAAGCAUUUCCAGUGGAUUCUGGGCUUCUUAUUUGUAGAACUCAAUGUGAGCUCUCAGCUGUUGUUCCAGCGCCAUGCCUGCCUGCUGCCAUGUUCCCUGCCACAAUGGAGAUGGACUCCUACCCCUCUGGGAUUGUAAGCCAUAAACAAAUGUUUCCUUUUCUAAGUCGCCUUGGUCAUGGUAUUUGAAUCAUAGCAAUAGGAAAGUAAACUGAGACAGCAGGUGUCUGUGUUUUGUUCUUGUUCCACAGAUAUGUAGCUAUUGUGCAUAUUGUUCCAUCUGUUGCAUUAUUCAGUUAAUAUAAUUUUGAGGUCUUUUUCUGUCAGUCCCUUCGGGUUUGUGACAUUUUCUCAGAUGCCAAUGGUGUAACAGGGUGUCCUCCCCUCCAUUUGCACAGACGUUUAGGUCCUUUCCAGUCUGUAGCACUGUAGCGAUGACACUACACCCGUCCUUGUUUCCCAAACUCUUUGCAAAUGCAACACCUGCUACUGUCUUUCAUCAGUGUCCCAAGGGAAUGGAAUUUCUGGGUUGAAGGGUAUGUGCACUUUAAGUUUAUAGAAUACUAGCGAGUGGCCCUCAAAAUUAGCACACUGAUUGAUCCUCCUACUCACAGCAUGGAGAAGAUGCCCCCAGAUGGCCUGCCCGCAUCCCUGCCCAUCUGCUUCUCUCUUGAUGUAUUCUGUAGCAGAAACGCAGCAGGGUAAACAAUCACUUUUGCAGUCCCUAACAGUGGCUUUGUAAUGCAUUUCUCAUACCAGAAUGAUACAGAGGAAAUAUCUAGGCAUUGAAGCAUGGUCCUGAGAAAGCUCUAGCUUUUUCCUGACAUAAAGUAGGGGAGUGGCUGGGGCAUGGUCCCCUUCCUUCUUUUUCUGCUUUGUGCUUUCUUAGACCACUUGGUGUUGUGAGGUUAUAGCCACAGGUGACAGACCAGCAUGCUAGGAUAACAAAGCAAACAAAAGGAGCUUAGAUGAUUAGUGCCAAAACCUAUUGCUAGUGGCAGCAAGCCUGAUGCCAGCAGGUAACGAGUCUGGACAGCUCAUUGUAACAGGAAAAUAAGCCCUUCCUGUUUAACUCCUCCUGGCUGGGUAUCUGUAACUUUGUGGCUGAAUGAAAACAUAAAGUUAGUUGGAUCUUAGUGCUGGGUAUCCAUUUCUGCUUUAGUUUAACCAUAUAUAUUACAUCAAGAGAGAAGCAGAUGGGCAGGGAUUCGGGCAGGCCAUAUAUAUAUGAGACAAAACGUCUCUUCACAUGUUUGCCCCAGCAAAACACCACCCAACCGACUUUCCAAAGACCCCCUCAAGUUUCCACCUCACAAAGUGGCCAGUUGUCAAGCAGCCUGCGGCAUUUUCAAAUGCACAAUAUGAGGGUAAGCUUUGGGGUUUGUUUUUCUAUAAACACAUGGGCAUCCUGAAUACUGUCCUGCAAGUUAUAAUUUUGAAUAAACAAAAUGACUCAAGGCCUGUGUGUGAGGACAUGCGCGGUCAGUCCUAGGAGCCACAGCGACGCCUCUGGCUUUAGAGAUUGACUCAGGUCUUACUUUCAGCUUUGCUUCUCACUUUUCCAGUAUUCUGAACCUGGACUUCUGUCUUGUAGAGUCACAACUGGUUUCUAUCCCUUCCUAAGCCCUUAAAUCAGCUAUGCUCAUAAGUCUGUCUGGUUUCACCAUAGGGCCAUUUCAUUAUCUCCCCCAAUUCAAUUUAAAAAAUGUUUUAAAAAAAGACACUCUUGAAAUACAUGUAUAUGUCUUUGUAUAUUAUCUUCCUAUUUAAAAAUUGUUAACUUUGAGCAGAUCCUAAAAGAUAACUGGGAAUAAUCAUAGUUGUGAUGGCUGAUAUAAAGCUAGCCUGAGCCCUUAUACCACAAGAGAGCAAGGUAAUUCUUUCUAGUUCCUGUGGCCUCUGAACAAACACAGCUCUGUAGCAUGGUUAUUGGAAACCAGUGUAUUGCACAAUGGGUUGUUCAGUUGUAACAUAAACCCACUUCAGGCCACUGUAAGCAAAAGGAAAUUCAUGGCUAAUGGCACUGGAGUCAUAGGUGGGUCCAGCCUCAGUGUGAGGAGGGUCCUUAGGAGGGGGAAACAGGAGCAGCUGAUUCAAUGAUGACUCAGUAAUUCAGCGAGUCAGUAGUGCAAGCAAGCUGUCAGUUCAAGCGCUCACUCUUUUCCCCCAGGACUCUCACCAUUCUUCCUUCUUCUCAUUCUUCAUUGCUGUUCUUCAUUCUGACCCGAGAGCCUGAACCCAGUCUUUUAUCUCCUAAAGCUACAGCAUCAAGGCUUUGAACCCUGUUAAUAAUUCUUUAGAAAUCCUUGAACUUACAUAAGUUCUAUGAGUCCUGGAUCAGUAGCCCCAAUCCCUAUUUCCUUAAAACAGAAACUAAACACAAAGCAAAAGCUCAUUUCCUUAGAGUUUUACACAGCCUGUUCUUCAUGGGUAGCUGGGCACAGCUCCUGCGGUAUCCUGGUACAGCAGAGCGCUGUCUUUAGUGACUAUUUUCAUAUAAGAACAGAAAGGUGUCAGACUACUAAGGUGGAAAUGAUUUCUUAAAAAGUUUUAAAAUUUAUGCAAGUAGAGUGGCUAGCUCUCUCUAAUCUCUCUCUAGGCAUGGUCAUCUCCAGUCCAUCAAGUAGCUAGGAGAAUGAAGUACUAACUUUUCAUAUGCUUGUAUAUCAUCUAUUAAUUCUCUAAACUUUGUUUCCUAUCUUAGCAAUUCCAUGGCCUUGUGUACUCUCCUUUUGGUACCAUUUGUUUCUAGAUUAUGUGCAAGCCUUUCUCCUAUAAAAUAAACCCAUUUAUCAUU